rnacentral:rRNA from 1 species
AUUGAACGCUGGCGGUAUGCUUAACACAUGCAAGUCGAACGGUAGCAGGCCUUCGGGCGCUGACGAGUGGCGGACGGGUGAGUAACGCGUAGGAAUCUGCCUCAUAGUGGGGGACAACGUGGGGAAACUCACGCUAAUACCGCAUACGCCCUACGGGGGAAAGCGGGGGAUCUUCGGACCUCGCGCUAUGAGAUGAGCCUGCGUUAGAUUAGCUAGUUGGUAGGGUAAAGGCCUACCAAGGCGACGAUCUAUAGCUGGUCUGAGAGGACGAUCAGCCACACUGGGACUGAGACACGGCCCAGACUCCUACGGGAGGCAGCAGUGGGGAAUAUUGGACAAUGGGCGCAAGCCUGAUCCAGCAAUACCGCGUGUGUGAAGAAGGCCUUAGGGUUGUAAAGCACUUUCAAUUGGGAGGAAAAACCUGUCGGUCAAUACCCGGCAGCUUGACAUUACCUUUAGAAGAAGCACCGGCUAACUCCGUGCCAGCAGCCGCGGUAAUACGGAGGUGCAAGCGUUAA